AGGGCUAUUUUCAUGGAAAAAUACAUGGAUCAGAUUCUUGCUUCCCUAUGAAGGUGGUAGUGCUUGAGAGGUUGAUCAGAGCAAAAGUGAAAAGUCAAUAUUUUGCCAAAAUCAGGAAGAUUGUUUGGAUGUGCUACCGAAGACCCAUAAAGAACUUUAAGUUUAAAUUUUCCUCAAAAUGGUGGGGGUAUGUACAUGUAUAUUGUAUAUAGUAGGACUGCUGGCAUGUUGAAAUAGCAAGUAUGGAUGAGAAUGUUAAUAUCACUGCUAAACUAAGUUAUGGACAAAUCUGAAUGAAAUGUUAAAUUCUAGCUGAGAUGUUUGACA